GGCAGACGGGUGAGUAACAUGUGGGUAUCUGCCCUUUGGCCUGGAAUAACACGAGGAAACUUGUGCUAAUACCGGAUAAGUCUUUACGGAGAAAGCUUUAUGCACCAUUGGAUGAGCCCGCACUUGAUUAGUUUGUUGGUAGGGUAAUGGCCUACCAAGACUGUGAUCAAUAGCUGAUUUGAGAGGAUGAUCAGCCACAUUGGGACUGAGACACGGCCCAAACUCCUACGGGAGGCAGCAGUGGGGAAUCUUGCACAAUGGAGGAAACUCUGAUGCAGCGAUGCCGCGUGAGUGAAGAAGGCCCUUGGGUUGUAAAGCUCUUUCGUCGGGGAAGAAAAUGACUGUACCCGAAUAAGAAGGUCCGGCUAACUUCGUGCCAGCAGCCGCGGUAAUACGAAGGGACCUAGCGUAGUUCGGAAUUACUGGGCUUAAAGAGUUCGUAGGUGGUUGAAAAAGUUGGUGGUGAAAUCCCAGAGCUUAACUCUGGAACUGCCAUCAAAACUUUUCAGCUAGAGUUUGAUAGAGGAAAGCAGAAUUUCUAGUGUAGAGGUGAAAUUCGUAGAUAUUAGAAAGAAUACCAAUUGCGAAGGCAGCUUUCUGGAUCAUUACUGACACUGAGGAACGAAAGCAUGGGUAGCGAAGAGGAUUAGAUACCCUCGUAGUCCAUGCCGUAAACGAUGUGUGUUAGACGUUGGAAAUUUAUUUUCAGUGUCGCAGCGAAAGCGAUAAACACAC
rnacentral:rRNA from 1 species